ACUAAAUCUAGCCCGACAUCUUUCUAAACUCAACUACCAUUUCUCAUUAAACUAAACCAUUCAUACUUAUAAAAGUAUAGGAGAUAGAAAUUAUUGACCGGAGCUAUAGAAUCAGUACCGCAAGGGAAAGAUGAAAGAAGAAACUAAUAGUAAAAAGAAGCAAAGACUAAAACUUUUACCUUUUGCAUAAUGGAUUAACAAGAAAAAUCUUUGCAAAAAGAAUUGAAGUUAAGAACCCCGAAACUAGACGAGCUACCUAUGAGCAGCCAAUAUGGGCCAAUUCAUCUAUGUUGCAAAAUAGUGAAAUGACUUGUAGGUAGAGGUGAAAAGCCAAUCGAGCCUAGUGAUAGCUGGUUGUCCAGACAAGAAUCUUAGUUCAACUUUAAGUUUACCUAAAGAAUCAGAAAUCUAAAUGUAAGCUUAAAUGUUAAUCUAAAGAGGUACAGCUCUUUAGAAUCAAGGAUACAACCUUCAUUAGAGAGUAAAAAACAUAAAUCCCCAUAGUAGGCCUAAAAGCAGCCAUCAAUUAAAAAAGCGUUCAAGCUUAACUCUUACUUCCAAACCUAAUACGUACCUUCUAAUUGAUCUCCUAAAUCAAAACUGGACUAAUCUAUAAUACUAUAGAAGAAAUUAUGUUAAUAUGAGUAACUAGAAUUCACUUCUCCUUGCAUAAGCUUAUAUCAGAUCGGAUAUCCCACUGAUAGUUAACAGCCCAAUAACACUAAACAAACAAUUAUUCCGUUAUUAGAUAUACUGUUAACCCAACACAGGCAUGCACAAAUCUUAUAAAAGGAAAGAUUAAAAGAAGUAAAAGGAACUCGGCAAACACGAAUCCCGCCUGUUUACCAAAAACAUCACUUCCAGCAUAAAAAGUAUUGGAAGCAUCGCCUGCCCUGUGACUUCAUGUUUAACGGCCGCGGUAUCCUGACCGUGCAAAGGUAGCAUAAUCACUUGUUCUUUAAAUAAGGACUAGUAUGAAUGGCUGGACGAGGGUUCAACUGUCUCUUACCUCUGAUCUGUGAAAUUGACCUCCCUGUGAAAAGGCAGGGAUGAUACAAUAAGACGAGAAGACCCUGUGGAGCUUAAAUUAACUAAUCAACGCAAUCAAAAAUAAACCCCAAUAGGGGAUAACAAUCAACGCUGAUUGAUUAGCUAUUUUGGUUGGGGUGACCUCGGAGUAAAAACCAACCUCCGAAUGAUACUAACCUAGACUCGACCAGUCCAAGUUAAAACUCAUUAAUUGACCCAAAUAAAUUGAUCAAUGGAACAAGUUACCCCAGGGAUAACAGCGCAAUCCUAUUCUAGAGUCCAUAUCGACAAUAGGGUUUACGACCUCGAUGUUGGAUCAGGACAUCCAAAUGGUGCAACCGCUAUUAAUGGUUCGUUUGUUCAACGAUUAAAGUCCUACGUGAUCUGAGUUCAGACCGGAGCAAUCCAGGUCGGUUUCUAUCUAUUCUAAUAUUUCUCCCAGUACGAAAGGACAAGAGAAAUAGGGCCCAUGAAACACUCACGCCCUAAGUGCCUAUAGGUGAACUAAUCUCAACCUAAAACAACAUUACAACCCAAUCCUAGACAAGGAUUU
rnacentral:rRNA from 1 species